CGGAGGAAAAGAAACCAACAGGGAUUGUCUCAGUAACGGCGAGUGAAGCGACAAAAGCUCAAAUUUGAAAUCUGGCACCUUCGGUGUCCGAGUUGUAAUUUGAAGAAGGUAACUUUGGUUUUGGCUCUUGUCUAUGUUCCUUGGAACAGGACGUCACAGAGGGUGAGAAUCCCGUGCGAUGAGAUGCCCAAUUCCAUGUAAAGUGCUUUCGAAGAGUCGAGUUGUUUGGGAAUGCAGCUCUAAGUGGGUGGUAAAUUCCAUCUAAAGCUAAAUAUUGGCGAGAGACCGAUAGCGAACAAGUACAGUGAUGGAAAGAUGAAAAGAACUUUGAAAAGAGAGUGAAAAAGUACGUGAAAUUGUUGAAAGGGAAGGGCUUGAGAUCAGACUUGAUAUUUUGUAUGUUUUACUCUCGGGUGGAGCCUCUACAGUUUAUCGGGCCAGCAUCAGUUUGGAUGGUAGGAUAAUGACAUUGGAAUGUGGCUCUUCUUGAGUGUUAUAGCCCUUGUUGAUACUGCCUAUCUAGACUGAGGACUGCGUCUUUGACUAGGAUGCUGGCAUAAUGAUUUUAAGCCGCCCGUCUU
rnacentral:rRNA from 1 species